CUGAGAGGAAGGUCCCCCACAUUGGAACUGAGACACGGUCCAAACUCCUACGGGAGGCAGCAGUGAGGAAUAUUGGUCAAUGGACGCGAGUCUGAACCAGCCAAGUAGCGUGCAGGAUGAAGGUCCUACGGAUUGAAGACUUCUUUUGUAAUGGAAUAAACCCUCCCACGUGUGGGAGCUUGUAUGUACCUUAUGAAUAAGCAUC
rnacentral:rRNA from 1 species